rnacentral:rRNA from 9 species
CAGACCUCUAAUCGGAAAAGACUACCCGCUGAGUUUAAGCAUAUCAAUAAGCGGAGGAA